rnacentral:pre_miRNA from 1 species
ACAGUGUGAGGUAGUAGAUUGUAUAGUUGGAGGGUAGUGAUUUUGCCCUGUUUUGGAGAUAACUAUACAAUCUAUUGCCUUCCCUGA